rnacentral:rRNA from 1 species
GACGAACGCUGGCGGCGUGCCUAAUACAUGCAAGUAGAACGCUGAAGAGAGGAGCUUGCUCUUCUUGGAUGAGUGGCGAACGGGUGAGUAACGCGUAGGUAACCUGCCUUGUAGCGGGGGAUAACUAUUGGAAACGAUAGCUAAUACCGCAUAACAAUGGAUGACACAUGUCAUUUAUUUGAAAGGGGCAAUUGCUCCACUACAAGAUGGACCUGCGUUGUAUUAGCUAGUAGGUGAGGUAAGGGCUCACCUAGGCGACGAUACAUAGCCGACCUGAGAGGGUGCUCGGCCACACUGGGACUGAGACACGGCCCAGACUCCUACGGGAGGCAGCAGUAGGGAAUCUUCGGCAAUAGGGGCAACCCUGACCGAGCAACGCCGCGUGAGUGAAGAAGGUUUUCGGAUCGUAAAGCUCUGUUGUAAGUCAAGAACGGGUGUGAGAGUGGAAAGUUCACACUGUGACGGUAGCUUACCAGAAAGGGACGGCUAACUACGUG